AACGAACGCUGGCGGCAGGCUUAACACAUGCAAGUCGAGCGCAUCCUUCGGGGUGAGCGGCGGACGGGUGAGUAACGCGUGGGAACGUGCCCUCUUCUACGGAAUAGCCUCGGGAAACUGAGAGUAAUGCCGUAUACGCCCGCAAGGGGAAAGAUUUAUCGGAGGAGGAUCGGCCCGCGUUGGAUUAGGUAGUUGGUGGGGUAACGGCCUACCAAGCCGACGAUCCAUAGCUGGUUUGAGAGGAUGAUCAGCCACACUGGGACUGAGACACGGCCCAGACUCCUACGGGAGGCAGCAGUGGGGAAUCUUGGAAAAUGGGGGCAACCAUGAUCCAGCCAUGCCGCGUGAUCGAUGAAGGCCUUAGGGUUGUAAAGAUCUUUCAGCUGGGAAGAUAAUGACGGUACCAGCAGAAGAAGCCCCGGCUAACUCCGUG
rnacentral:rRNA from 1 species